UACGUAGGUGACAAGCGUUGUCCGGAUUUACUGGGCGUAAAGAGCGCGCAGGCGGUCGAUCAAGUCGAGUGUGAAAGCCCCCGGCUCAACUGGGGAGGGUCAUUCGAUACUGAUCGACUCGAAGGCAGGAGAGGGUAGUGGAAUUCCCGGUGUAGCGGUGAAAUGCGCAGAUAUCGGGAGGAACACCAGCGGCGAAGGCGGCACUCUGGGCUGGAACUGACGCUGAGGAGCGAAAGCGUGGGUAGCAAACAGG
rnacentral:rRNA from 1 species